UCAAAUUGUCUUGAAGAAAUUAAAGAAGGGAGCAAACCUCAGAAAGCUUAACUGACUAAAGAGGAGGAAGGAAGCAAUUUUCCAGACGGCAAACAUGGAUGGAGAGCUACCUCUGAGCUAGCGGCGCCCAACUGCUGGCUGGUCUUCCAGGAGGAACCACCGGACGAUGCCGAGGCUUCCUGUACUCAUGACAGAAGCAGGCUUUUGAGUCAAAGAAACAGCAAGGCCUGUUUCAGAUCUGCCUGGGGGGCCCGAGUGGGAAGGACCGUUCCAAGUACUUUUAACGACCCACGCGGCAAUUGGAAAGAAGGAGGCAUCUUUGUGGAUUCAUCGCUGCAGGGUGAAGAAAGCUCCCUGCCUCAGCGGACUGCUACCUUAAUGGACCUCUGAAACUUGCGAUGCAAAAAUGAUGUUUAAUAACUAUGUAACCUGUACAAUGUUACCUCUUGUUUCAGCUUGAUCAGAAAAUACUCAGAUAAAGCUUACUGAAAAGCUUACUGAAGCUUUGAAUGUUUCAGAGUUGUUGCUAUGUGCAAUCUUUUCCAGAGGUGAAGGAAGAGGUGCUAGUUUACCUAGCACUUGCACUAAAUAGAUUAAUAUCAGAUUGGUUAACAAAUUAGAUUCAGAAACACGGAGCAAAUUGUAAAAUUGGAAAAGCCAGUCAGAGCGUGCUAGACCCCAGAUUUCAGUUAGCGGUCAAUGAUCAUAUGAGGUCUGUUUUUAAAGAUGGGAACGAUGACAGUGAGAACCCUAUAAAUGUUCAGCGUAGGGAUCUGCCUGGUCUAGGGUGCAGUUAGGAAUACGGCAAUUCUGGGAUGGUAACUGGGGAUGAUGAGACAGCAAGGCUUUAAAAGUAGCACUACUGAGCGGCCCAGAGAUCGUGUAUUGGCUGCAGGGGAGCGGAGGCUGUGUUAACCAUGAGAAUGCCUGCUAGCCUUCAUCCAACGACUGCUUGAGCCUCACCACAUUUGUGGAACGCGUAGUCAAGAGGGUGGGAUGGCGUGUUAAGUAUUUCUUAGAAUUCUUUUUUUUUUUUUCUCGGAGUGUAAUAAACAUAUGUACUGAAGUCUG